rnacentral:lncRNA from 1 species
GAUACGUCUUUCAUUUAUAUAUGGCUCUAUUGGGUCUGGUGUUGCACCAUUUAUAUGAAUAUUUUGUAAAUCACAUUCUGAUUCUUGCACCAUUUAUUGAGAAUCUUAUUCAGUCACUGGGAUUUCUUCACGAAGACAACCAAGCCUCAAGAUCGUCCACCCUGAUAGUGCUCUUCUACAAGUAGUUGAAAAUUUGCAUUAAAAAUUUAUAAUAUAAUUCUAGACUAUUUACUAGAACCUGGUUCUUUCUAGAAGAAAAAAUAUCAGCUCGUUCUAGAAAACCUAGUUCUACAGAAAAAUUCUCAAAUAAAUGUGGUGAAUACUGUCUCCCAAAAUAUAAUUAUGUGCUCUGAGAUCAUUAUAAUAUUGAUUACCUAAGUAAUGAUAAAUAAGCAAACUGACUUGACAAAAUGGCACUCAAGUACUAUAGAUCUUCCCACGUUUUGACCUUUUCAAACUACCUGCAUAAAAUUGAUGAGGUGGGGUUACCACUAAUUUUAAUUAUUGUUAUUUUCCUUUCAAUAUUAUUCUUGGCCACAAAGUGGUAUUUGUUUCCUUGUGCGGGCAUGAGUGAAAUGAAUUCCCAAACAACGAUGUGCAAAAGGCGUUUAAAAGAGAGAGUGCUAGAACGGCAAAAGAAUUUCAAAACUUGGCAAAGCCACCACCUUGACCAUCCAGAUACAAUGGACACAAAAACUUUUCAAUAUUGGUCAUUGGUUUCAAUAGCAGAAACUUCUAAUCGUCACGUGGCAACAAUGCUUGCGUGGCCUAAUCAGAUUGUGCCUUUUCAACCAUAUAUAUAUACUCCAACCUUGUCAUACCUUACCAUGCAUGCAAAAAACACAAAAAUUAGUACCUUACCAAAAGUGCAACCAUGGAUGAAGAAGGGUCGAGGGGGAGGGCUAAGGAGGAUGCCGGAGAUGUCCG